CAGCCGCCGCGGUAAUACCGGCGGCCCGAGUGGCGGUCACUAUUAUUGGGCUUAAAGCGUCCGUAGCCGGGUUGGGAAGUCCUCCGGGAAAUCUGGCCGCUUAACGGUCAGAAUUCCGGGAGAUACUCCCAGCCUAGGGAGCGGGAGAGGCCGAGGGUAUUCCCGGAGUAGGGGUGAAAUCCUAUAAUCCCGGGAGGACCACCUGUGGCGAAGGCGCUCGGCUGGAACGCGUCCGACGGUGAGGGACGAAGGCCAGGGGAGCAAACCGGAUUAGAUACCCGGGUAGUCCUGGCUGUAAACGAUGCGGACUUUGUGUCGGACAAGCUAUGAGCUUGUCCGGUGCCGGAGGGAAACCGUUAAGUCCGCCGCCUGGGGAGUACGGCCGCAAGGCUGAAACUUAAAGGAAUUGGCGGG
rnacentral:rRNA from 1 species